GUCUGUCUCAGUCUGUCUCAGUCUGUCUCAGUCUGUCUCAGUCUGUCUCAGUCUGUCUCAGUCUGUCUCAGUCUGUCUCAGUCUGUCUCAGUCAGUCAGUCUGUCUCAGUCUGUCUCAGUCAGUCGAUCGGGCCUUCAGUUUGUCUGCCUUUCGGCUGUAGACCUGGAUCUCAGAUCUGGAGUGGAUUCGGUUCCUCAGGAGCCUCCAUGCAGCUCAGACCAGGACUGGUGGUGUUCCAGCUCCGGACCGGUCUGCAGACCGUCAUGAAUGGACAUGCAGAGCGUUCAUCAUCGGAUGAUGGGUUUGUUGGUGGUAGAGCGUCUGCUGUGUUGUGGAGGAUGUGAGGUACGAUCAGGACGCUGCUCCAUAAACCGUCUGUCCAUGAACCACAGCGAGAGAACGUCUCACCGGACUGUGUUAUGGACAGUUGGACAUGAGUCGGUAUGAAAGCUACAGAGAUGACACUUUUCUCAAUGUUCUUUUUAUUUCAGUUAAUCGCUUUCACAACAUUGUGUGGUUGUUCCUGACACUCAGGACUGGAAUUAUCGAGGUUAUGAAUGAUGACGUGGUAACUAAUAUGAUUUUGUACAGCAAGAAAAUAAAAUUUUAACUUUACACUUUA